ACUGGUUUUAAAAAAGAUCUUCUACACUAUUUUCUGUGUUAGUCCCUCCAUGUGCUUCACUGAAGAAAUCAACACUUGAAAAUUUUGGGGAUUCUUUAUUGAGGCUCCACAUAUGGAAGCUGCAAAGAGCAGAAACACGUGACUCCACGGAUUAUCCUGGUGGGAAUGCAUCCCAGUAACCACCCCCAGACGUUCAGUGAAUGGCAUGCUUCUCACUGCAAUGUUGAGGGUGAUCCUUUUAACUCCAUCCACCCAUUCGAAGGCCAGUCUCCUCCAGAAACGCCCUCAACAGACACACCCAGAAAUAUGUUUCAACAGCUCUCUGGGCCUCCCUUAGCCCCAUCAAGUUAACCCAUCAUGCCAACCAUCACAAAUAACUGUGUGUGAAGGGUGAAAGCCCCAUGUCUCUGAAGCCAGUGGGUGUUCACAAGAGGAUUAUGG